rnacentral:rRNA from 1 species
GUCGUAACAAGGUCUCCGUAGGUGAACCUGCGGAGGGAUCAUUACACAAAUAUGAAGGCGGGCUGGAACCUCUCGGGGUUACAGCCUUGCUGAAUUAUUCACCCUUGUCUUUUGCGUACUUCUUGUUUCCUUGGUGGGUUCGCCCACCACUAGGACAAACAUAAACCUUUUGUAAUUGCAAUCAGCGUCAGUAACAAAUUAAUAAUUACAACUUUCAACAACGGAUCUCUUGGUUCUGGUAUCGAUGAAGAACGCAGCGAAAUGCGAUAAGUAGUGUGAAUUGCAGAAUUCAGUGAAUCAUCGAAUCUUUGAACGCACAUUGCGCCCUUUGGUAUUCCAAAGGGCAUGCCUGUUCGAGCGUCAUUUGUACCCUCAAGCUUUGCUUGGUGUUGGGCGUCUUGUCUCUAGCUUUGCUGGAGACUCGCCUUAAAGUAAUUGGCAGCCGGCCUACUGGUUUCGGAGCGCAGCACAAGUCGCACUCUCUAUCAGCAAAGGUCUAGCAUCCAUUAAGCCUUUUUUUCAACUUUUGACCUCGGAUCAGGUAGGGAUACCCGCUGAACUUAAGCAUAUCA